UGUCAAUGUUAAAUACCCACUGUAGCAGAGGUGUUUUCUUCAUUGGCUGUGUAGUGUGGACUGGUUUGUAACUUUAGGCUUUGGCUUCAGUUUUAAGAUAAUGUAAAACUAAGUAGAAAGAGCUGAAAGUGAUACAAGAAUAUAAGAAAACCAUAACUGCCUGGGUAUUAUCUUGAAAUCGUUUAGGCUAAGGAAAUAGGAAGAAAUUACUAGUAAACAGAAAAACAAGAAGACACAAAAGUGGGAAACACCAAAGAAGAAAGAUGAACAAGGACAUCAAAAGGGGCACAGCUGGGAAAGAAUGAUCCUGAUUUGUUCAGAUGUUGAUUAAAAAAUUUGAAUGCAGAAUAUCAGAUAUAUCAUCAUCAACUAAGAAGAGGAAAUCUGACCUUGGAAGCUGCCAAGUGUACAAUUCCUUGUGCUUAGUGUGUUGGCAAGAUACCAUGAUUGUGACCAGUUUGGCUGCACAUUGUAAGCUCAGACCAGAUGGUGAGACUCCGCUGCUGUGUGAAACAGAAAGGGAUGGUACCGCUAAGCACACUUCAUGUAUGAAAACUUUAAGCUGGUUCAGUAUAUGGAGGCCCAUCAUGAAAUUUUGAAUCAUGUUUGGGAGCACAGAAUGAGAAAAGUGUGAGUAUAUGUUAACAACGCCAAAGCAGAAGCUUCAUCCAGAAGCUGGAGACAAAUGAAGCAGAAAGGUCAGGGUUAACCCUGAGGUUAACAGGAUGAUGGAAACUGUGACAGCUCCCCUGUAUAGUUUCCCUCUUUAAAAGAGCAAAUGAAAUCUCCUCAGCAAAACUGUGCUACAAAAUAAAUCACUGAAGUUUAAAAAAAUCA
rnacentral:lncRNA from 14 species